rnacentral:rRNA from 1 species
ACCGGAGAGGUAAGAGGUACUCCAGGGGUAGGAGUGAAAUCUUGUAAUCCCUAUGGGACCACCAGUGGCGAAGGCGUCUUACCAGAACGGGUCCGACGGUGAGGGACGAAAGCUGGGGGCACGAACCGGAUUAGAUACCCGGGUAGUCCCAGCCGUAAACGAUGCUCGCUAGGUGUCUGGAAUGGUGCGACCGUUUCAGGUGCCGCAGGGAAGCCGUGAAGCGAGCCACCUGGGAAGUACGGCCGCAAGGCUGAAACUUAAAGGAAUUGGCGGGGGAGCACUACAACGGGUGGAGCCUGCGGUUUAAUUGGACUCAACGCCGGACAACUCACCGGGGGCGACAGCAACAUGUAGGUCAAGCUAAAGACUUUACCUGAAUCGCUGAGAGGAGGUGCAUGGCCGUCGUCAGUUCGUACUGUGAAGCAUCCUGUUAAGUCAGGCAACGAGCGAGACCCGUGCCCACUGUUGCCAGCAUAUCCUUUUUGGAUGAUGGGUACUCUGUGGGGACCGCCGAUGCUAAAUCGGAGGAAGGUGCGGGCUACGGUAGGUCAGUAUGCCCCGAAUCUCCCGGGCGACACGCGGGCUACAAUGGUUGGGACAAUGGGCUCCUACACUGAAAAGUGACGGUAAUCUCAUAAACCCAGCCGUAGUUCGAAUUGAGGGCUGAAACCCGCCCUCAUGAAGCUGGAAUCAGUAGUAAUCGCG